GUAUUAUUGAUCGCGUGCGACCGCGAAAAUAAACAUUCUACACUGUAUCGAGUUUUAUGUGAAAACGCAGGCCCUCCCACAAAGGGGAGGACCCACGCGGUGAUGCACAAAGGGGUGAGAUGGAUUGUGUGAGAGCGCGCUCGGGCGUGCACGACCUUUGAGGGUCAGCGACAGCCCUUGCACCUCCGUUGUACGAUAAUGAUCCUUCCGCAGGUUCACCUACGGAAA
rnacentral:misc_RNA from 1 species